rnacentral:rRNA from 1 species
AACAAACGCUGGCGGCGUGCCUAAUACAUGCAAGUCGAACGGGGAAAGCUUUCGGGUGAGUACUAGUGGCGCACGGGUGAGGAACGCGUGGAUAAUCUGCCUUAGAGUGGGGGAUAACUAGUCGAAAGAUUAGCUAAUACCGCAUAAGACCACAGGAGCUGCGGCUCAAGGGGUCAAAGGUUUUUCGCUCUAAGAUGAGUCCGCGUAAGAUUAGCUAGUUGGUGAGGUAACGGCUCACCAAGGCGACGAUCUUUAACUGGUCUGAGAGGAUGAUCAGUCACGCUGGAACUGAGACACGGUCCAGACUCCUACGGGAGGCAGCAGUAGGGAAUAUUGCACAAUGGAGGAAACUCUGAUGCAGCGACGCCGCGUGAGUGAUGAAGGCCUUCGGGUCGUAAAGCUCUGUCGCAGGGGAAUAACACAAUGAAGGUACCCUGUAAGAAAGGAUCGGCUAACUUCCUGCCAGCCGCCGCCGUAAAAC